GUUCCUUCUAGAGGCUUUAUGGGAGAGUCCGUCUGUUUCCUUGGCUUUUUAACCUUCUAGAGGCCCCCUGAAUUCCUUGGCUUAUGGCCUCAAAUCAUGUAGCCUUUUCUCCCCCUGUGUGCAUGGACCUCUGUGCUUCUUCCCCUGAUCUUCAACCUCCUUCUUAACAAGGAUUAAGAUUAUAUCAGGCUCAUCUGGAUAAUAAAGGGUUCUAUUCCAGGAAGAAAAUGAAUAACGCCUUUGCAAACAAAGAAACAAAACUAAACCCUUAAAACAGUGGCAAAUGUACAAUUCACCUUAAACUAUUAAAAAUACCAUACAAAUUUAA